rnacentral:lncRNA from 1 species
CAGCAUUCAUAGCUCUGGGGCAUCCUGUUUACAAAAAAUAAUGAGUAGAAUUCAAUGUUUGAAAGGAAACUUGUAAGAAGAAAAAUUAAAUAUGAUCUACUUUUCUUCCACUAAUUUAAAGUAUUACAAAAUGUACAUGUAGCAUAAGGAUAUGUAUUAUUAAUGGUAAAUUUAGAAGCUUAAGAUUUAGUAGCAUAACUUUUUUGCCUAUUUUUUGGAGUCCCUGGAAGGGAAAGGAUUCUUUAAUUGGAAGUAAAGGAGUUAAUUUAGCUAUUAACACAGCUUUCUUAGUAUAUUAGCUUAAAAGUAGUAAAAAUUAUUAAAAGUAUCAUAGUAUUACCAAUGAGGUUGUCUGUGUAGUGGUAGAUGUAGGCAGAUUGAUAGAUACUCUAGGUCAAAGUUACUUGUUAUUUUUGGUUUUUAGCGUUGUUAUCAAGUCGUCGCCUAGGCGACGACUAGGCUUACGGAAGUCGUUUGGUCGACUUGGUUGGAGGGGAGAAAAGUGACCGCUCAGCCAACGAAUCGGCCGAUUUGCUCGUGACUUGGACGACUAUACAGCCAAGCGGUCGACUUGGACAAAGCGGGUUUGGUUCGAUCCGAAGCUUAACUAGGUUAUAAAAAAGAAGUAAAAUAAAGUUCGAUUUGACUGAUCGAUCACGACUUCGGAAGAGCAGAGAGGGAGAAACGAGUUGCAAGAGCAGAGAGCAAGAGCAAGAAAGGGGGCUCACCUGUCGACUGCAGAGACGUCGACUUUCGGUAUGCUUCCUCUUUCCUUUUCUUCUACUCUUCUUCUCUUCUUCAGUUCUUCGACUCUUUUACUCUUCUUCUCUAUACUCCUAUAUUCUUUUUCUUUUCUUCUCUUCUCUGAGAUUUCGACUUGUUUUUUUUGUUUCUGAUUUUCUCUUUACUCUGCUCUAUUCUGCACUUCUGCUGUGUACUGUUAUGGUCUAUGGGUUUGCUGGGCUAGUGGGCUGUUAUUUUUUUGUUUAGUGGGCUGCAUACUAUGGUUUAUGCGUCUGAUUUGCACUGGUUGUAGUAUACUUAUAGGUUAUUUUUUCACAGCAGCCCGAUUCUCAUUGUAAUUUUGCAAUUUGCAGGUUCAACUCUUUUGGAAUUUGGACAAAUCAAAUAAAAUAAAUAUAUUUGCUGUUUCAAGAAAAUAAAAAUAAUAUUAUCAGUAGCAAGAAGAAAAAAAAGACCGUUUAACAAACUAAUGCAGUUCAAAUGAAUGUGUUGAUUGGAAUGUAAUUAAUUAUUAACUAAUGCAGUUCAAAGAAAAUAAAAAUAAAAAUAAUAUUAGCAGUAGCAGGAAAUUGGAAUAUAAUUAAUUAUUAAAUAACGUAGUUCAAAGGAAUGUGUUGAUUUUUUUUUAUUGAAUUUGUUGCUUAGUGGUUAUGAAUGUGAUGUGAUUUUACUUGAUUUUAACUUGAUCUUGUUCAUUUCUUGUUGUGAUUUGAUAUGUUACAAUAUGUAUUAUGAAUAUGAUAAAUCAUUAGAAAAAUAAAUAUAUCAAUAUUCAUAUAAAUAUUAAAUAUAUAUAAUUUUAUUCGUAUAAAAUUUACAUUGUUAAUGACUUGUCGACUUGUGGACGACUAGUUGGGCGCCUUGUCGCAUAAGUAGACUUGGCAAAGAUGGUCCAGGCCCGCGGGCCGGGCCGCCCGCCCGCUACUUGCUGGACUUUGGGCUUCAAUAUUUCAGCCCAUAAAAUCUGAGCCGUUUUUGGCCCGGCCCGUGGCCCGUGACUU